rnacentral:tRNA from 1 species
GCCUGGGUGGCUCAGUCGGUUAAGAGUCUGAAUUUUGGUUUCAGUUCAGGUCUUGAUAUUGUGGCUUUGUGGGUUCGAGCCCUGCAUCAGGCU